rnacentral:rRNA from 1 species
AGCGAACGCUGGCGGCAGGCCUAACACAUGCAAGUCGAACGAACUCUUCGGAGUUAGUUGCGGACGGGUGAGUAACACGUGGGAACGUGCCUUUAGGUUCGGAAUAACUCAGGGAAACUUGUGCUAAUACCGAAUGUGCCCUUCGGGGGAAAGAUUUAUCGCCUUUAGAGCGGCCCGCGUCUGUUUAGCUAGUUGGUGAGGUAAAUGCUCACCAAGGCGACGAUCAGUAGCUGGUCUGAGAGGAUGAUAAGGCACAUUGGUAGUGAGACACGGCACAAACUGCUACGGAAGGCAGCAGUGGGGAAUAUUGCGAAAUGGGCGAAAGCCAGAAGAAGCCAUGCCGCGUGAAUGAUGAAGGUCUUAGGAUUGAAAAAUUGUUUAAGAGGGGACGAUAAUGACGGUAACAGGAGAAGAAGCACCGGCUAACUUCGUG